rnacentral:rRNA from 1 species
GACGAACGCUGGCGGCGCGCCUAACACAUGCAAGUCGAGCGAAGCGGCGGACGGGUGAGUAAUACGUGAGUAACCUGCCUUAGACCUUGGGAUAGCCUCGGGAAACCGGGAUUAAUACCAAAUGGUCUAAGAUGGACUCGCGGCCCAUUAGCUAGCUGGUGAGGUAACGGCCCACCAAGGCGACGAUGGGUAGCCGGCCUGAGAGAGUGAACGCCCACAUUGAAACGAGGAAACGGUCCAAACUCUACGGGAGGCAGCAAAGGGGAAUAUUGCACAAUGGAGGGAACUCUGAUGCAGCGAGGCCGCUGGAACAAAGAAAGCUUUCGAGACGUAAAUUUCUUUUAUAUGGGAAGCGGUACCAUAAGAAAAAGCCCCGGCUAACUACGUGCCAGCAGCCGCGGUAAUAC